ensembl:lncRNA
CAAAGUCUCCUUUAGCUGAUAAAUACUUUCAUUCAAGGCAAGGAACAUUUAUUUCAGAUAAUGUUCUUAUUCCUGGAGGAAAAGAAGAGGUAAAUUCUGAAGUGAAGAAUAUCCUGGGGAAACAGUUUGGCAAAUGAAAUGACAUUUUCCUGUUCUCAUUUAAUAUCAUAAAGGAAUAAAUAUGGGUAACGUGGAAUCAAGUAAAAGAAAAGAUUUUUGGAAUAAUAGAAUGUGAAAUCAGAGAAGUUCCUGAGAGAUCAGUAGCUCCAAUAUCCUUAUUUUCCUGAUAAGAUCUGAGAAGAGAAUUUCUUUGCCCAAAGUCUCCCUGAUGGUUAAUGGCAGAAUUGAAGCUAGAACCAAAACCUGAAACUCCCUAUUCACUGUCCUUUCUAAUCAGUUUUGCAGGACUCACAGUAUCUUUUUCCGAAGUCUGCCCCUAUUUAUCAGUGAACUUAUAUUCUCUUCUUCCAACUACCAUAUAGGGGACACAGUUCAUCCUCUAGUAAAAGAUGACAUGUCAAGUUUUGGUACAUAGAUGUCACCUAAGGAAGUCCAUGAUAGAAUUCAGGGUGUGUUGAACGUCAGUGGAAAAAUAUUUUCUUCUUAUCUUCAGGUGUCUCAUAUUCAAGUUACCUGUGCAAGACCCCUUGGAAUCCUCAGAAAAUUUUGAGGGAUGUAUUUCCUGGAAAUCACUUGACUCUCUGUUAGUCAACUUGAUGAGGCCUCAAGAUAUCAGAUUUGAAGGUAUGAUUGGAAAGCUGUAUGUCUUAGUUGCAGGUCUAAGUCGUAUGUUAAUCCCAGUUCCUCACGCCUACAAGCAAGCGCCAAGUACCGUGUCUGCUCCAUUGUAAGAAUGCAAUAAAUGCCAUUGGUUGCAGAAUGAGUCCGUGAGAGGACUCUCUGCUUGAAUGGGAGAAGAAAAAAAUGACACUGUAAGCCUGAAGAUGCCAUUACAAUUACCUAAACCAAAGAGGCUGAACCAGCCUCCAAGGUGCCAUGAAAGAAGUUCAGGCUUGUCUGCUGGAGACAGAGGCUGCUUAGAGGAACACUGAGGCUCCCCAUACGAGCUCUGCUUUCACGUGUGUUCUGUACUGAGAUGAUCACGAGUGCAUUUGAAAAAACAAGGAACUCAGAGCCUAAAUAAUGUGUCUUAGAAGUAUAACUUAUGGAACUCAGAAGAGAAGAAAGUAUUAUGUCAUGAAGUGAAUAAGUGAAGAGAAAUAGGCCUAAGAGUAUCCUUUAGCAAGUCUGAGGCGAAAAGAACAAGUUCUCCAUCUUUGGAAUUAAGGAGCGAGGAGUUAUUCCCAGAAGGCCAAGAGAAUGAGAAGAAGCGUUAUUGGUCUAUUCAAGAUUUUUCACCCUUCCUUGAACCAAGUUUGAGAAAUUUUACUGUCCUAGAAAUUCAUCAAAUGUGUGGAGACUUUCGAACUUAUUAACAAAUAGUGACUAGCAUUGUACAUUGAACUACUCUACAGAUAAAUCUUUGAUUUAUUUUCCUAACAAAAAGCAGCUCGCGUUCAACAGAGAAGCCACGAAAAGCACAGAAAAUCCCA